AUGCACUUCUUUACGCAGUCGAUCUGAUCCAACUUGCUAGAAACCUCAUCUGGAUGGAUGCCUUGUAGCAUGACCUCCAUUUUCUCAGCGAUUCUGAUCGAGUAUUUACUGAACCCUAUGCCAAUAAACUCUAUCACCUUCAGCGAUGAGAGCAUUGGAAAAAGCAACAUUGGUUAUUCUGCAUAAUAUCCACCCAGCUUUAAUUGAGCAUAGCAAUCCUGAUCAAAGAAUAUUUGAUUGUUCCAGGUAAUUCUGAAAGGGUUAUUUGGGUAGCUUUUGAUGUUGCAAUUAUUUAUCCUAGCCAAGCCCACAUUGGGGUGAGUGAAUGGGGCCGGAUUGAAAGCUUUGGGGUGACGCUCGACAAAAAUCGAAAAGAUUGACUUGCCGCCAAAUAUUAAAUGGACACCAUGGAAGCCGCCGAUCAUUAUCCGCUGCGCACAGCAUUCCAAGAUACCACAGUCCUGGAAGGACAGCCAUCUGUCCAGGACCUCUCAUUUUCCAUGCUAUAAGCUGGGCAAGCCGGCGUCUUCCAUUUCCAUCAAGUUGUUUAAUAGGUACUAGUACCGAUUUUGCAUCUGUCAAGAAAUAACCAUAUCGAGCAUUUCUUCCGUUUCCUAUAAAAUUAACCCGGGAGAAAACCUGGUAAUAUUCCCUGCGAUCUCCCUCUGUUGCAGUUCUGUUUUCCAUGACACUUUUAGAUCUCCCAAGGCAACAGCUUGGUGAGAUACCCAUUGCAAUGCCAGCCUGGAAGAAAGCAAUGUCUGGUUGAAGAUUAGGAGUGAUGACUUCUGCAUCACUCAUAUCAACGGUCAUAGGAGCGAGCUAGAGGUUAGUGAGAUGAUGUGCAAGCUACAGAAAAGCUGCUCACAGGGAACAGCACAAUUGCUUUUUGGAUAUACGUGAUGAAACAGGCGGCGUAAAUUGGUUGUGUUUUUAUAGCUUGUGUUGGGCUAAUAGGCAUUGAUUCGUUCGCAACGUGGAUUUGCUGAAGCAGAUUUCCACGGCGUUGGAGAAUAUAAGCAUGUAUUGAGACGUUUUGUUCAUGUUCUCCGUAUUUAUGCAGGAGCAGUCUUUCAAAGUGGAGAAUGAAGCGGUCUAGGUGUCAGGCUGUACCUCCUCCCUCGUGGAACCAGCCAGUGUCUGUGAACCCGGCCAAAGUUAGGUAGCGGGUUGAGGAUGGCAAUUUUGUCAACCAGGUCUGGGGGGCUGGAGAUAUGAAAGUGCCUUACCAAAUCUACCAUCAAAAAGACCUCUCAUUAACUAAGACAUUAUUGCAG
rnacentral:sRNA from 2 species